GUCUGUCAUGCGAUAUUCGGCUAAAGUGAAAGUAGGAGUUGAAUGCCUUGUUUCACUAAAAAGAACAUUGCUCAGAUAUUUUCUCUGGACUACCAAUUUCUGUACUUCAAGUGAUGCCUGUGUUGCAGCCCUCCCAAGAACCUCCCUUGUAGGUGUUCUUUAAUAAGAUUUCAAAGAUAAAGAGGAAAUGGUUCUAAUGAUAGAGAUUGUCCAUGUUGGUUUGUCUCAAUCUUUUGAAAAACAGUGUUGGAGAAAAUAUCAGCAACAUAUGAAGACUCUGAUCUAAUUUAUUACAAUGUGACCUGAAAGUUAUUUGAUUUUAUGGUAGUAUUUACAGAUGCAUUGAACUUUCCGAACAUCGUUGAAAAAGAUCAUAUGAUGACAAUAAACAAAAAUACAUAUAUGAACUUUCCACAAGUUUCCAAUGAAGAACAUUUUGGGAUCUUGGAAAGGAUAUUAUAAUUUGAUUUUUUACCUAAUUUUUAUGUGUUCUUGUGCAGUGCAUUAAAUGCACAACAUGUUUUUAAAUCAGACUUUUGAAACCAGUGCUGAGAACAGAGGUCUUAGAUAUCCUCAUA